rnacentral:lncRNA from 1 species
UGGCCUGUGGCAGGUUAGGAAGGGCCGCUGGCUUCCAGGACAGAUGUAGCUAGCUAUGGCUACCAAGGCCUGGGGAGCCUGCAGACUGAAUACUCUGUCACCUUGUCACUGUUGGCAGAAUUACCUGUCUUGAGAACUCUAUAGCAUCAUGAAAACAAAAUCCUUCACCUCCCUCUGUCUGUGAGAAUGGGGUCCCCUAGAAAGUCACAGCAGGAUUAGGAGGCCCUGGCUGGGGACUGACCCUGUGGGAUCUCCCAUAGGCCCAGGUCCUUCCCACCAGAGGUUGACAUCUCUCCAUGGAGCCUGAGCCUCAAGGUGGGCCCACUGUCCCCACAGAUGGGAUACAAGGAUUUUUCCACACCUUGCAGCCCUUCCUCCUGAUCUAAUGGCACCUAAUGUCCCCAGAUGCAGACUGUCCUCGGCAGGGGCUUUGGGGCACUUCCUCAUCCUUUCAGUGAGCCGAGGCGUGGCUGGCAGCAGAAUGCUCUCCACACCUUGUCACAUCUGUGUCCACUCUCUCCACAAGCACCCUCGCCUGCGGUGGGACCCGCAAUGCCACAGAUCACAGGCCCAACUUCAGUUUGUGUUUAAGAUAACCUUUGCUGUACCCUUAAUGGGAUCAAAAGCACUUUCACCACACGGAGAAAUAUAUUUUCAAUUUGUGAUGCUUUUCUACAAGGCCCACUCUUCCUGAGUUCAGGUGUUUCCAACGCUUAGGGAGCCUAAUGAAGGCCAAUGACUUUUUCUUUUCUGUCCAAACAAGAAAAAUAAAAAAUAAAAGUCUAUUUAG